GCGCACGUGGCGGAAUUGGUAGACGCGCUAGGUUGAGGGCCUAGUGAGAUUAAAAUCUCGUGGAGGUUCAAAUCCUCUCGUGUGCACUA
rnacentral:tRNA from 1 species